rnacentral:rRNA from 1 species
AUACGUAGGGGGCGAGCGUUGUCCGGAAUGAUUGGGCGUAAAGGGCGCGUAGGCGGCCCGGUAAGUCUGGAGUGAAAGUCCUGUUUUUAAGAUGGGAAUUGCUUUGGAUACUGUCGGGCUUGAGUGCAGGAGAGGUAAGUGGAAUUCCCAGUGUAGCGGUGAAAUGCGUAGAGAUUGGGAGGAACACCAGUGGCGAAGGCGACUUACUGGACUGUAACUGACGCUGAGGCGCGAAGUGUGGGGAGCAAACAGGAUUAGAUACCCUGGUAGUCCACACUGUAAACGAUGAAUGCUAGGUGUAGGGGGUAUCGACCCCUUCUGUGCCGCAGUCAACACAAUAAGCAUUCCGCCUGGGGAGUACGGCCGCAAGGUUGAAACUCAAAUGAAUUGACGGGG